UACGGAGGAGGCAAGCGUUAAUCGGAAUUACUGGGCGUAAAGCGUGCGCAGGCGGUUGUGCAAGACAGGUGUGAAAUCCCCGGGCUUAACCUGGGAACUGCACUUGUGACUGCAUAGCUGGAGUGCGGCAGAGGGGGAUGGAAUUCCGCGUGUAGCAGUGAAAUGCGUAGAUAUGCGGAGGAACACCGAUGGCGAAGGCAAUCCCCUGGGCCUGCACUGACGCUCAUGCACGAAAGCGUGGGGAGCAAACAGG
rnacentral:rRNA from 1 species